CCUACGGGCGACAGCAGUGGGGAAUAUUGCACAAUGGGGGAAACCCUGAUGCAGCGACGCCGCGUGAGUGAAGAAGUAAUUCGGUAUGUAAAGCUCUAUCAGCAGGGAAGAAAAUGACAGUACCUGAGUAAGAAGCCCCGGCUAACUACGUGCCAGCAGCCGCGGUAAUACGUAGGGGGCAAGCGUUAUCCGGAUUUACUGGGUGUAAAGGGAGCGUAGACGGCAGUGCAAGUCUGGAGGGAAAGGCGGGGGCUCAACCCCCGGACUGCUCUGGAAACUGUACGGCUGGAGUGCAGGAGAGGUAAGUGGAAUGCCUAGUGUAGCGGUGAAAUGCGUAGAUAUUAGGAGGAACACCAGUGGCGAAGGCGGCUUACUGGACUGUAACUGACGUUGAGGCUCGAAAGCGUGGGGAGCAAACAGGAUUAGAUACCCGUGUAGUC
rnacentral:rRNA from 1 species